rnacentral:rRNA from 1 species
UAAGGUCACAGUAAGACUAACUGAACAUAAUAGGUGUUAGGUAUAAGUGUAGUAAUACAUUCAGCUAAAACAUACUAAGGACCACACAUUUUU